AUAAAUCAUCAGGUGCCACUGAGAAAGAGAUGGAGGAAAAACGCAUUUCCAGUUUUGGCCAGAAAGAAGCAGCAGGGAGAGCAUUGCAAGAGAUCUUCCAAAGCGUGCAAAGUUUUUCAUGAAUUGAGAAAUGAAGAUAGUGGAGUCACAGAAAUUCCAGAGCAUCUGAAAUCCAGUGCCAGUGCUUGAGCCCCACAAAAAACAAACCUUGUGCCUCUGACUCUUCAAGAGAUGGCUCUGAAGCAUCCAGCGCUGGUAUGUUGGUCCUCAUUUAUUCUACAUCAUCAUGUUCAGUUCCGUAAGUCUGUUGUACCAAGUUUGGAGGCUUUGUCCAAUUUCUGAUCAAUUGAAGAGAGAUUUGGGUUUGACUUUGCACUCAAGUCUGAACACAGCAACACGCACAGAGACUCCAAUUCUACUGUCUGCGUAUAGGCGUGCACACAUUGGUAUUAAUGCUUUUGCCCUAAAAGAUAGUAUUGUGAACUUUAAAAGUGCAGGGUUUAGAGGUCUGAUUAGAAUUAGAUCUGAUGAAAACUGAGAAUGCAUGAAUUUUGAAACAUUUUGUCCUUCCUGAACAAAAAAAGUAAAACAUUUUGGUGUGCCCAUCCCCCCCUCCCCCCACCAAGAAGAACUCUCAAGACUCAGUCUGGCAAUAGGAAAGCUGCAUUUUGACUUGAAAACCCAAGUAACUCCCUCAACUACAACACUGAUGUUCUUGACUCAGAUUGUGCAGUUUUGGCUUCUUGCAAUGACACCGAGUGCUGUGGGUCAGCUCAGUGUUAACCUGUAUUCUUACUAUGUCCUCCUGACUCGCGGGGGCUGUAACACGGAGAGAAGUGCAGACUCCCUCUGCCAGACCCCCACAUCAAACCAGCCUCCUGUGCUACACUCACUCAUGGAAACUCCUCCAGAGCGUUACCAGAGGGGAGCCCUCCUUGCAUCACGUGUAAAUAGAGGAUAUGCAGUCCAGUUAAGGGAGCCCGUGUGGAAAUAAGCCACCGUCCUUACGUGGAAUCUGGCUCAAAAGCAAGCAGGUGUUGUACUCGGCUACAAACAUUUAGACUGGUUUAACAAACAGUAGUAUUGGGACUCAGAUUUGAUUUAAAGCCAGAUUAUUUUUUGUAUUGAUUUUUCCAGUUCAAAUUAUACACCUUCUGUGAAAAUGCUUAUUGCUGCAAAUACUGCAUUUUUCUCCCUGCCUAAGAAGCUAAAUCAAGACUUACUCAUUGGACUAAUCAUGCAGAUAAAGAAGAAAUCUCCUAAACUGGAAAAGAAUGACUAAAAUGUAGAAGCUAGAAAUUGCCUUUCUAUAAUUUCUCAAAAAGCUAUAUCAGGUACAGACUAUAUAAAUACUUGGAAGUCUCGGUAUUAAUGAUCAUCCUGGCCCUGCAUGAAGAUAAGAAUUUUUGCUGCUCUUUUAUCUUCCUCUUCUGUAAAAAAUCUGCAAGGUAAUUUUUCAGAGUGGUUGGUAUUACUGCAACUGAAAGCUUAUACCGGUAUCGUGAAACAUGAAUUUCUCAGUUUGAGCUAAGGUACUUACAGGACUGAAAAUCGCAAUACCAGAGAUCUUUUUGAUGUUGUGCUACAACUAAGUUGGAGGCAAAUGUUUUCCAGUGUAAGAUAUUCCAUGUACCAGGACGUACAAGCAACAAAACUGAAUAUGAAUCAAUAAAUUAAGCUCCCCAGGAAAAAGAAUAAUAAGCAUAUUUUAAUUCAGAAGUCAGUUCAUAUUCUUGAUAUGUUGAAGAAAACUGUUUUCAGUUUCGGUUUAUGAAAAACUUUGUACUUCACAUAGAAGUGGGCUGUCUUACACUCUCUCAACAACUGCUUGUAGACGUAAGCAGACCACAGACUCCUGUAGCAGAGACAAGACAGCGGUACGAGAGAACAACUUUUGCAAUGAGAGAGUUGAGAACACUUAAAAAGGUCAAUGGAGAAGACAAAACCUGUUACAGGUGGAUCACAAUAACUAUUUUAAAGUAGACAUGUUGACUGAGAGCUAGGAGUUUCAAGAAAACCAAAAAGUUAACAAUCAUUUAUGAUAGAGAAGGAAAUAUGUAAACACCAGAAAGUCGUAUAUAGAUAAAGCCCCAAAAUUUUUAUAUGCAUAAAAAUUGAUUCCCUCACUCUUUAGAACACAAAACGGACAGUCAAAUCAGUUUUUCCUGUCACAGCUGGAAAUUGCAAGGCAAAUUUAGCCAGGUACGUAAACUGCUCUCCUGGUUCCUGAGAACUGACUGGCCAGCUCUCAGUUCGUUCAAACGCUGAUGAAGUCAAAGUGCCAGCGACUGCCCCCGUCCCCCGCCCCCCCAUUGGAAGAAAAGCCCUACUGCAGGUAUUACAAGACAACUAUUAGUGGCCACUGCUAAGCAAGCAAGCCUUUUGGAGGCUAUUUAUCACACUGCAACCACGCAGAAGCAAUUGGUUUUAAGGCUUGAACACCCUAGUUACUAGCAGGGCCAGGGGUGCAUGUGUAAGGGCAGCGUAAACUUCAUUGCAGAAAAAGGCAUCUAGAGAACGAGUUCAUUUCUUACUUCCCAAAAUGGCUGCUGGUUUUGUGUAUCUUGCACAGAACGCAACCAACGUGUCUUAAAACAGAAGCAACUGAAAUGGUAAAUGUGUGAAAGGUGAAGGCAGUGAUGACACUUUAAAAACCAACAAAACCGGGACUGGCCAGCCUGCUUUGCAAGACCGUAGCUGUUCUGAUAAACAAUUCACAUGCACAGGAAGAAUCUUCCUGACGUUGAUAUUGCUCUCUUUUGAGCCGUUUUGUCAGGGUUGAUCAAUAAAUUGAUGUUUAAUCCCAUUUUAUAACUGAAUAUUCAGAGUUUGACCCCAUUCACACCAAGACAAAUAGCUUCAUUUCCAGCUACCAGAGUUCCAAGUACAGCAAAUAAAGAAUUGGAAAAAAAUUCAUCCAUGACCAGUAAAGAAAGUUUGCCAGCCUUUACUCAUGUCUUAAAAUAAAUUUAAAAAAGAAACCAAUAGGUUUAGCAAAAGAAGGUGUCCUGUAUUUUUGCUUUAUACUCCAGGCAACAAGCCAGGGGAUAAAAAUGCUAUUUACAACAGACAUGUAAGCUUACAAAAGGGAUUAGUAAAGACACAUUUUGUUGAAGUCACCUAAAAUCCAGAACAAAGGUUGUAAAAUUUUAAAAUGGUAUAUUUCUGCACUUAACUGCUAAUAAAAGUGGCUACUAAUUGUUAGGCCCAAGAGUUAUAUGGGAGGGACCAUUAACAUGUUGCUGUUUUUGAAGUAUCUGUCUGCAUUAACAUAGGGCAUUGUAGUGCAGAUUACAUUGAAAUGCUGACUACUCUGCUGUAAUAUUGCUGGGAGGAAAACAUUCAAUCCUACAGAAAAGAAUUGAUAUUAGUUAACUUAGAAAAGGUAAGUAUUGCUCUGCUUUUGCUAUUAUUAUUAUGGUCUGCUUGAUUACUGAAGAUAUACAUUAAUUUCCCGUGAAGAUCUGGCAUUUCUGCUUUCCACAAAUAGAUGGUUUCUAUCAGGAGUUUUUAACCUUAAAACAAAGCAGUUACCUAUACAAACAGUACAAAAGCUUUGACAUUAAUGCCAACUUCUUCCUGCUAAAUCUCUUGUACUCCAGGAGAAUUGGAGCAGGAUACAUCAUGACUGUAAGUUUUAGAUUUAGAGAAAACUCAAAUCACUGUGUGUCAGGUUUGUUUUCUUUGCAAUGGUCAGCCCCGUCUAAGAGAAACCAGUACUUCUGAGCUGCUAAAAAUAUAUACAUUUAGAUCAAUGUGUAAAGAUCAGUGAAGUCAAUAUCUGUAGCCUUGCCACAUUAGAUUUUCAGCUUUACAUUUUCAUAUCUAAUUGGUUUUGCCCAGAAUGAAUUAAGUGUCAAAAGAAAAGAGGAAAAAGAAAGAAGAUAGUUAAUUGUCACAACCAGAGCAAAAAAAGCAUGUUUCUUUGCAGAUGCUAAUCAGUUCCCUCUGUGUGUUUACAUUGUCCCUUUCGUGGGUGCAAACUGAGAGUGGAUAGGAAUAAUGAAUUUCUUCUAACCCGACAGCUAUGCUUCUUCCAUCAUCUCUCCUUCCCCUUUGUUCUCUCCUCUGAACAAAGAAGUUUCUCCUACCGGGCUUCUCCUCAGCUUACCAGAUCUGGCUCCUUUCUGCUCCCAUUCCCCCCACCACCCCGUAGCCCCUUCCCCCACUGUGUUGCCGAUCUCCUGCCCAUUCCCACUGGUUUUCCAUCCUCCCUCCCAGCACUUCUGGCUCUUUGUUCCCACAGCGCUCUGGAGAUGUGCAGCAGGAGCCCAGCUCGUGCUUUUUUUUUUUUUUUUCCCCUUCUUUCUUUUUCUCAGGGGGGGAAUCCUGGAACAUUUGA